rnacentral:rRNA from 1 species
GAGUUUGAUCCUGGCUCAGAACGAACGCUGGCGGCAGGCUUAACACAUGCAAGUCGAACGCGUGUAGCAAUACACGAGUGGCGCACGGGUGAGUAACACGUGGAUAUCUGCCUUUUGGUUCGGAAUAACCCUGGGAAACUAGGGCUAAUACCGGAUGGUUCCUACGGGAUAAAGAUUUAUCGCCAAAAGAUGAGUCCGCGUCCGAUUAGCUAGUUGGUGAGGUAAUGGCUCACCAAGGCGACGAUCGGUAGCUGGUCUGAGAGGACGAUCAGCCACACUGGGACUGAGACACGGCCCAGACUCCUACGGGAGGCAGCAGUGGGGAAUAUUGGACAAUGGGGGCAACCCUGAUCCAGCCAUGCCGCGUGAGUGAUGAAGGCCUUCGGUUG